rnacentral:rRNA from 1 species
GAUGAACGCUGGCGGCGUGCCUAAUACAUGCAAGUCGAGCGAACGGACGAGAAGCUUGCUUCUCUGAUGUUAGCGGCGGACGGGUGAGUAACACGUGGAUAACCUACCUAUAAGACUGGGAUAACUUCGGGAAACCGGAGCUAAUACCGGAUGAUAUUUUGAACCGCAUGGUUCAAAAGUGAAAGACGGUCUUGCUGUCACUUAUAGAUGGAUCCGCGCUGCACUAGCUAGUUGGUAAUGUAACGGCUUACCAAGGCAACGAUGCAUAGCCGACCUGAGAGGGUGAUCGGCCACACUGGAACUGAGACACGGUCCAGACUCCUACGGGAGGCAGCAGUAGGGAAUCUUCCGCAAUGGGCGAAAGCCUGACGGAGCAACGCCGCGUGAGUGAUGAAGGUCUUCGGAUCGUAAAACUCUGUUAUUAGGGAAGAACAUAUGUGUAAGUAACUGUGCACAUCUUGACGGUACCUAAUCAGAAAGCCACGGCUAACUACGUG